AUAGCAUAACCUACAAUAUUACAAAAUUUGAUUUAACGUUGAGGUUUUUCGGACACGAAUUAAAAGUUGAAACUACAUACGAUUAUACGAAUUUUCGGUUUUAAAUUUAUAUUUGUUGAUAGUUUUAAGAGUAAAGUACUUUCCUACUUUACAGUUUUGUCUAUAAUGUUUCCUAUAUUCGCCAAGCCUAGAUAUAGGGACUUAUUAAGCAUAUCACUUCACGGUAUUAAUAUUGAAAAAAUUCAAAGUUCCUAGCUUUUAAACUACAGAUGGUAAUUGUAAUACAAACAGACACCAACAACUCAGUGGCCACACAUACGUGUUUAUUAAACUUGUAGUUCGCAUUUCAAAAUACUCAAGCCACUCUAGGAUACUGAGUUGAAAUGGUGACCACUGAGAUAACUAUACUCUACACUUUUGUUGUUUCUGAAGGCAGUCAAACAAAUUCACAAAUUUAGAUCAUGACUGCACUACCAGUUCCAAGAUUGGACCAAGUUGAUAAAGAAUAACAACAAGUUCUACAAAAUAUAAGGCCUGACACUUACACAUUGAUUCUUGGAGUACACCGUAGAGAAGAAUUAGUGAGACAAUCUUGGAUUCUAUUACUUCAGAAAUAAAUCAGCAGAGCAACAAAUGUAUGUUGUUUAAUCAAUAGUCACUAUAUGAAAUGAAAUGUUUUAUAUUAAUAAUAAUACAUUUAGAAAAUUGUAUGCAAACAAAUUUAGGGAAGGAAAUUAAAUAAUAAAUUGUUAAAAUAUUAUGUUAUAAUGAAUUAAUUAAUGUUUAAACAUCAUUGUAUGAUUUUUGGAUUUUUGAGAUGCAAAGAGUAUAAGACUAAUGGCUGUCGAUCUACUGCAUGGAUAUACACAGAUGCAAAUGUCGAUAGGUUCACCUUAAGCAAAGCUCAUAACCAUCAAAGAGGACAUGACAGCAUACAAGAGAGGAAAUUAAGGAACAGGCUUGGAAAUCAAUGUGUUGAUCAAUAGUCCUAGACCAUAUUCAGCUCGAUUUCUGUACCUUUGCAAUAUGAGAAUGUCACCAUUAUCACGGAUUACGAGAGAGCACAAAUAAACACAUUUGAAGGAGUUUUGGUGUAGUCUACGCAUCUGGGCUGCUAUUUUCAUUUUUGCCAGAUAUUGGACUUGAUAAUAUUUCUGUGUUCAGGAGAGACAUUAGGACAAAUAAUUAUUUAGAAAGUUACCAUUCAUUGUUAUUGCAAAUUAUGAAGCCUCAUCCUAAAGUAUGGGAGUUUAUUAAUCAAUUGAGGUUUUUAGAAAAUAAAGCGAGGUUGAAUUUAAGCAAGCUCGGAGCAACCUCAGAAUCCGUGUUGGUGUUUCAACAAGAACAAGGGAAUCCAAUACAAUAGCAAUUGAAGAAUUAAUAGAAGAAAUGACACAUGACUAUACAGAAAGACGAAUUCAAAGAUUUUACGGAGAGCUGAUCAUCAAGUCGAUGGGUAUAUAACUCGAGAAAUUAGCAAUUAACUAGGUAUAUCUGUUUUUAUUUUUUUGAGGGGAAUCGUGCUGUAACCAUACCAAAUAAGUAUUAACCUACAUAUUUUGUACAGACUUGAAAGACAGAUUUAUAGUUAAAGACAUAAAAGUUUAUUAAAUUUAUGUAAUGUAAUGGAAUGACAUUAUGUAUUUUCAAACAUUGUUUCUGUAAACAAAUUUAAAAGUGUAAUUAUAUUACUUGUGAACAAUGCUAAUCAUUUUUAACAUUAUUAGUGAGUUAACUAAUAAAUCACCAAUCCUUCUGGGGGGCAGGGUUAAUGUUAUUUUCUUGAUUUUUCACUUUAAAUCGGUACUCGGUAGUACUUAAACUUAAAAAUAUCCUACAUAGAUUCACAACUAAUUCGAACACUGUUAAAAAAGUUAUAACGUGCCUUAGUUACAAGAUGAAAAAUAUGUUAAUUUUUAGGGUAUUUUUCU